GGACUGCAGGCUGCAACUCGCCUGCACGAAGUUGGAAUUGCUAGUAAUCGUGGAUCAGCAUGCCACGGUGAAUACGUUCCCGGGUCUUGUACACACCGCCCGUCACACCAUGGGAGCCGGUAAUACCCGAAGUCAGUAGUCUAACCGCAAGGAGGACGCUGCCGAAGGUAGGAUUGGCGACUGGGGUGAAGUCGUAACAAGGUACC
rnacentral:rRNA from 1 species